ACAGUUUGAUUGUGUUCUUUGGUUUGCUUGGGUUUGCUGUUCUCUGGAAUAUAAUGGGGGACACCUGGUCCCCGGGUUUUUUCCCGAAACCGGAUUUGGACCUGUACGAGUCGUUCGGAAGGUGUCGAAAUUAUGAAAUGUUUUAAUUCAAAAUCAAAAAGAAAAAACUUUGCUUAUA